UGAUAUGAAAAUAAAAAUUAUGCUGAUACAACUGAAAAUUCUUGUUCCUUUACUCCGGAAGAAUGUUCUUUACGGAGGAACUUUCUAAGAUCACUUGUAAUGUUUAACAUAUAUUAUCAAAAAAUAAAUAAAAAAUAUUUCAAUUGCCUUAUUUUAUUUUAUUACCAAUAUUUUAAAGUACAAAGUCUUACAUGUAUGGUCUGUGAAAUUUUGUAAGGAAAAAUAAAAAGUACAUUUAUUAUGGUUAGUACAACAAUUCAUUGGCAACUAAGGAAUAUUUUAUUAUAAAGUUGUGUAAGAACUCAUUUUUUCAUGUAUUGAUCCUGACUUCUUUCUUUCUUAGAAAUUGACAUAGAUUGUCAAUGCACUUCACGCCGUGAGAUUUAUUAAUACUAGGAAACACUUUUUGACAAUAUUCAUCUGUUUCACAUUUAACUCUUACUGUAAUAAAAGAACAAAAUAGAGAAUAAUAUUAAUAGAAAAAAAAUAAAAAAUUGAGUUCAAAGUAAAAAAGGUAAAGAUCAAAAUUUGAAAAGGUUAGAAAAAUAUCUUACGGCAAAUGUUUCUUUCAAUAAAAAAUACAGCAAUGAAUAAAAUCAUAAAAUGAACAAUAUUGAGAAAUUUAGUCUCAUCUUUCUCUUUUUGCAUGUUAUAGAUAUAAUAUGAUUGAUCAAUUUAUAGUGUAUAAACUUAUCCUAAGUUAAAAUAAAUUAAUUAUUUUUAGCCCUUGAGAAGUAUGGAAAAACAUCUUUAAAUUGCUAAUGUGUAUAUUUUUAUUAGAUUAAUAUGUUAUGAUUGUCCUUUGACACAUUAAAGAGUAACAUGCAAAACUUUCUUAUCAUUAGAAUUCACUCUUCUUAAAUUAAUAGAUAAAUAAUAUUUUAUUUAUUUCUAAAAUAGUUACAAACGCAUAGUUUACCGAUAGUUAAACUUAUUGUAAGUUUCUUUAUAGAUAAAAUCAUUUGAUUUUAGGAAAUGAAUAUUAAAUUUUGCAGUUAUUUGAUUUUAGGGUUGGGGAAUUCGAAUCAUUCCCAACUCGGUUCAAUUCGAUAAGAAUUAGUCCAACUCAAAAUUUGACUCGAGUUCAAUCCGAUUUUUUUAAAGGUUAAGUUCAACUUAUUUUAAGUUCACAAAAAUAAUUUAUUUCAAUUCGAUAGAUUCAUCUUGUUAGGUUCAAUUGUAUGCUCUAUAGGUUAAAAAGCCAUAUUUUUAAAUAUUAAUAUAUAUUUUUUUUAUAUUUGACAUUUUAAAUUAAUAAUUUUUUUAAAAGGAAAAUAUUUAAAUAAAAUGAUAAUUAUAAGAUUGAAAUUUAACUUUUUCUCAAAAAAAUUUAAUGUUUUAUUUAUUAGAAGAACUUUAUUAAACAAAGGAGUUUAAUUUUUAAUCACCCUAUACAAUUUUUUUUAUAUGAUGAUGAAUUUAUUUGUGUAAUUAUUUUUAAAUAUAUUUUGUUAACUUGGGAAUAUAAAUUAUCAAUUAAAACCGUCAAAUUAAAAGAAAAAUUAGAAGAUUUAUAGUAAGUUUUUAAACAUAUUCUUAGAGCCAAUAUAAUUCAUCUCAUAUAUAAUCGAGUUGAUUCAUGAACCUAAUGAGUUGAGCUAUACAUAGUUCAAAUCUACCUCAUUUAAUUAACAAACUUAAUUUUUUGUUCAUAUUCAGCUCAUUUAGUUCAUGAACCUAGUUCAAUGAUUUAGUUUUCGAAUUGAGUUUUGAAUUAUGUUUGAAUUUGUCUGGUGCAUGCAUAGCUCUAUUUGAUUUCAUAACAUUAUCAUUCACAUAAAUCCUGUAACAUUCCAUAUAAUAUAUAUCUAGAGUAAUAUCAUACAAGUUUUAUUAUUUUUUUGGUAUUGUCACAACAUAAGUGUCUAACAACAUCUUUAUAUACUUGCCCAUAAAAUAAAAUACAACAUAUCGAAUAUGUCAUGCGAUAGUGCCUAAAUAAAGAUCUAAGAACUAUGUACAAUAUCUACAAUUGUACAAAUCUACUGUAGAAGAUCAUAAUAAAAUCUUUCCUUGAAACAUCAAUGCACAACUCCUCUUGUACAAUAUAUCCUAUAAACAAUACUUGGAAAAAAACCAAUAAUAUUGGGGUGAGAUAAUAAUCUCAGUGAGUUAUCCUAUCUUAUGGGUUCACUCGGCUCUAUAGAGUUUUCUAAUCGAUUUCCUAACUCAAGUCACAAAGGGGGAAAACUGGAGUUCCCAAAACUCGCAAUGUAUAGAAAUACGCCUCUUGAGUUCAUCGACUCAAACAAUCAAUAAUCGGAAACCAUUACAAGGUAUGUUCCCCCAUCCAACCCUACGUCUAGGAUUAUCGACAUGGGUCACGAAUCCUUGUAUAUACUUUGAAAUAUGCACAGACUUCCGAUUCUAAGUGAUCACAUCCACUUCAAGAAUCGCCGCUUCCUAUGGGACUCAAAACUCAUUUCAAGACUUUUACUCGUAUGGGACUCACCCCACUUUGGGAUCUACCGUCUUUGGAACUCACGCCCAGGUCAUAAGUAUUGGUGCGUACGUCCCAAUUCUUACUCUAUAUGAGCAUCACAACUUGGGACAACACAAUUAACGAGUUAUUUUUGACUACGUGACAAGAUAGAAAUACAACGUAAUUGUAUUCAAAAAUCACAAGGUAGUCACGUUCAUCUUCAUCAAACAACAAUACAACAUGUUCCAUACAAUGCAUCCCACUCUCAACUAUGGCAACCAUCCAUCCAUGACACUCAACCAGGUAUCAUAUAGAAUAAACGUCCCCAUCUAACAUUAUUUAAGCCAUAUGUCUAACUUCUUACCCUAAUUAGAACUCUAAGUUAACUCACAUUGUUCAUCACGUUUCUCUCUCAUCUAUUGUUAAUUUAACACAUACAUAUCAGAACAUAUGUCAUAAGGCACACAUAUGGAAAAGAUAGCAUAUUCCAUUUAUCCCAAACAAAACGUAAUAAAUUAUCAUGAUCAUAUAAAGCUUUAAACAAGCUUUCUAAUGCAUUUGACCGCACAUCGAACGGAUUUAUGAAACUCAAGUUAUGCCACAAACAAUACAGAGGGAAAACACAAAAACCAGUUAACCGCGCUAAGCGCCACCUGAGCCUGCUAUUGUGAUUUGAGAAUGUUAUGUGGAGAAUUGUGGCAUCCUUUUUGAGUAUUUUAUUAUGCAUGUUUUAUAAAUUAAGUGUUUGGGGUUUAUGGUUAUACAACCAGACCCCAACCAUAUACAACUGAUCAAAGUAUUUCAUUUCCCUUAAGCGGUGAGCGAUCGUCCUCUUGAUUUCCGCUACGUCGUUGGCUCCUUUUCUUCGAACAAUAAUUGAAUUUGUUUCUUAGCCUAGCAAUCGAAAUCUUUCAAAUAUAUAUUCAAAUAAACAAAAAAGUAUUUAGACAAAUAAAUCAAACAAUGCAAGCACAAAUAAACCUUCGACAUCAUAUAUAAGACCUAUAGCAACUUAUUAAGCUCAUGAUAACGGUCCUAAAGUAUCUUAAAUUAUUUUAUGCUAACCGUCCCAACGUAUAUAGAUAUUUCCCCCAUAUUUUGUUGUUAAGCAUUGUUGAAAGUCCACGACUGCUUCCUCCGAUCUUUGACAAGAACUUAAUUUCAGUAACCGUUGAAUUGUACAAAAUUUAUAAAAUAAUGAGAAUAUAAUUUACGCAUAAUUAUAUAAAAUUGUUACAACUUGAAAUAUUUACUUUAAAAUAUUUAAUACUAACCUCCACUAUAUUUGAAUAAUUAUUAAACUCAAAUAUAAAUUAGACUAUAGCCUGUUUGGAUUUGUUGAUUUUAGAAAAUUAUCAAGAGUAUAUUCCUAAUAACCUUUUAAUUUUAUAAUAACACUUGAGCAUUAUAAUGACUUAAAAUGGUAAAAUUUAUCUUUUAUUAGGAUAUCAACUUGGACUUUAUAAGUUCAAUACCUCUAUGGUGAAUGGAAACUUAAAUAGAAUAUUUAAAAUAACCUUAUAUGAAUAAAAUAAUUAAAUUAAUAUAAUUAAAAUAAAAUGGACAUUAUAACGAUUUACCAGUUACUUAUGAAAAUAAUUGUGGCAGAAAUUAAGCGUAUAAAAUCAAACUCCUUUGAAAUUUUAGAAGCAUUUUGACCAUAUUAUAACUCUAAAAGCUAUGAACCAAUACUGUGAAAACCUCGAUAACAAAAACUAAUAUCGCUAUAUGAAGAAAAUAGAAAAAGAGAGAAAUAGAAUGGUGAGAGAGAUGAAUUGUGAAUGGAUAUAUAUAUAUAUAUAUAUAUAUAUAUAUAUAUAUAUAUAUAUAUAUAUAUAUAUAUUAAUAUAUAUAUAUAUAUAUAUAUAUUAUAUAUAUAUACUUAAUAUAAUAUAUAUAUAUAUAUAUAUAGUUGAAGUAUAUUGAUAUUUUUGUUAAGGUAGGUUGAUAAAUAUUGUUGUUGAGGUGUCUUAGAUAAACAUUAUGGUUUAUUUAUUGGAUGAUGUGUUUUUAUAUGUAUGCUAUUAUUUAUGUUUUUCUUAAUGUUAUUACUUAUACAUUGCAGUUAUCAUUUUUUUCAACCAAUAUUUUUAGAAGAUGAGUUUAUUAUAUUGUAUAUGAUUUGACUGUUUUACCAACCUACCAUUAAAUAUAUAACCUUUUGAAUUGAAUUAGAAAAUAAUAAUAUGAAAAAUUAAGUUAUAUUAAAAAACAACUUACAUCGAUCAAUAUUUUACGAGCUUUCUUUAGUUUGUUGUCCAUAUAUAUCGCUCUUUGAUGGUUAUAAUUUGGUUUAAUGCUUGUAUUUUUUAAAUCUACACUUUUUUUACUAAUCCAUUCUGAAAAAUUGUUAAUACUUUGCAGAAUAAAUUAAAAGAGAAAGAAGUGUUGGUUGAAGAAUUAUAAGCAUUGAAUCAAAUUUUAACCGUUAAAGAAGGAGAUAUAGAUAAUGGAUUAUAGAAAGAUCGAAAAAUAUUUAUUAAUGUAACUUGUUCUACUAAUAUUACUCAAUUUGUCAUUUUAUUAAUAUCUAAUUAGAGUGAAAUGUUAUAUGUUUAUUGAGAAUUUAAUGAAAUAAGAAUUUCACAUAUUUUACAAUCAGACUUCAAAAAAAACUGUAAAACAAACAAAGAGUAAGCACGGAAUAAAGAAAGUCAGAGUAUAAAGAAAGAAAUACAUCAUAAGUAAAUAAAUGGCUAAAAUGUACACAAAUAAGGAUACAGAAAGAUGCACUAUAGGUUUAUAGAGGUUCGACUUAAUCACUUGACUUACUCAUCUCCUUGAAAAUUUAUUCUUGAGAGUUUAAAACCAGACUUUAGAAAAAGUUUGUAAAACAAACAUGAAAUAAGCAGUGGAAUAUAGAAAAUGGAGUAGAAACAAAGACGUACAUGAAAAGUAAAUUAAUUACUAAAAUAUAAAUAAAUAAGGGUAGAGAAAGAUGCACCAGCAGUUUAUAGAGGUUCGACUUAACCACUUGACCUACUCAUCUCCCCAAAAAAAAAUUCUUGAGAGUUUCCACUAUGUUGUGAGGUUUUUAGAAGUUUUUCCCACGAAUCUCCUUAAAAACAAACUUAAGUUUUAAAAUGGAUAAUCUCUAAACUAAACUGAGAGUUUUUUCCCACAAAAUGUUGUACAAGAUUAAUCCCAAACAAGAUAAGAGAUUUUAUACCAAGCGUAGCUCAGGAACCAAGUGGAGGUUUUAACGAAUAGGCGAAGCUCACGAACUAUGUGGAUAUUUCAACAGACAAUCUCUUGAAUGAAACAAGAUCUUUUACAAUAGGAAAAGUUCAAGAACAAAAAGUGAUAUUUGAACGGACAAUCCCAUAAACCAAACAAGAGCUUUUUAACUUGGUUUUGAUCAUAAUCAAACUAAAAAUAUCACAAGAAAUAUUACAAAAUUACCCUCACACCCGAACCAAAUAACUCACAUGUAAAUUUCACUCUCAAAUCACUACGGUAAAAGUGAGGAAGAACUAAAGAGAGAGAAGAGAGUGAAUAAUGAGAAAGAGUAGUCAAAAUACAUUUUCUUGUAUGUAAGAAAUGAGAAAUAAGCCUUCACAUUUUCUAGUAUGUAAGAAAUGAGAAAUCAACCUUCUAUUUAUAGGACAAAGUGUGAUACAGAAAUGGAAAGAAUCCAUGCACUUUUUAAUAUUCACAACCGAUAAUGCAUAUGACAUAAUCGAUUAUGCAAUUCAAAUAUUUAAUGUUUUUAAAUGACGCUUUCACUUAUCAAUUGUAGCUCUGUCUAAUCGAUUAGGGUUACAUAAGUGAUAAUUGACUAAUCAAGUAUGAUAAUCAAUUAUGUCAUGUAAAAAUUCUCUUAGUUGAUUAGAAUGUGUCUGUAAUUCAUUACCUAGGCACAAAAAGGUUUUCAAGUAGUUUUACUAAAAUUGGAGAGGAUUUUUUAUCAUUCAAAGUGUGUAAACGCACUACUAGGUGUGGCAAAAUGGGUCGGCCUGCUGGGCAUGCCCAUUUUGCCCGAGUUUUGUGCGGGGCGGGCUAAGGAUUUAUGCCCUCACCCUCAAAUGUGUCCGCCCCGCCCCGCCACGCCCCGCUCUGUUUUUUUUCCGGGUUUUACGGGCACGUGUGUUUACAUAAUUUUUUGUAUUUUUAGGCUUAAAGGAGUGCAGUGCUCGCAGACUUUUCCCGCCCCGCCCUCACUUUUUUGCGGCGCGGGUCCACUACGCCAAAAACUGGAAUAGACAGCGCACCUUAGAGGGCGCUUUAUUACAAAAGCGAUCUCUAAAGUGAAGCGAAAAAAUAAGGAGCAAUAGACAGCGCACUUUAGAGGGCGCUUUUGUAAUAAAGCGUCCUCUAAGGUGAAGCGAAAAAAUAAGGAGGAGAUAGAGGGACAACAAUACAUGGCGCUUUUUAGAAAGCGCCCUCUAAGGUUACCCUUAGAGGGCGCUUUUAAUAAGCGCUGUUAUAAGUCCAUGUGCAUUUCCAGCUUAUAAAACGCUUCUGGAAAGCCUUAGAGAGCGCUUCCAUAAGCGCCUCUUAGGCCCCCUUUAGAGGGCGCUUUUUUUCCACAAGCGCCCUCUAAGGUCCCCUUUAGUAAACAUUAAAAUUAAACAUACUGCGAUUUUGUUAUUUCACUCUCUGUUAUUUUCGUUCUUUUUCACGUUAGGGUUCUAAGGGCGUUCUCCUUCCACCUCUGUUAGAUCUACGACGUUUCCUCCUUCUACCAUCAAAGGUACACGAUGCAUACAUUAUUACUUGCACUAUUGCUUUGUUUUAGCUUUGCCCCAUUUCAGUUUUAUGUUAUUGUUGUCUAUGCUACGUUUGUUCGACCUGUAAAGUUUCAAUAUUCAUAAUCAUUUAAAUAGUUUGGGUUAUUAGGCAAUUGACGGUUGGUUUUUAGUGACCAUGAUAGCGCAUGCAAUGGGACUACAUUACCCAGUAGUUAGGGUUAUACGACCUAUGAACAUCUGAUUUUUGUGUCAACACAGUAUCAUUAGAAACCUAGUCCGAAUGUGUUUGAAUUCUUCAUUAACAGCCAACCAGUACAUAGCGUAGCUAGUAACUUAAGAAGUUUAGGUAUGGAUGUAUUUGAUAGAGUAAAUGGAGACAUGAAUGCCCUGCACAGAGUAUCUUCUGAAAUUGGUUUCUCUUCUGAAAUUGUUUUUUGUUUAUUCUAAUUAGUAAUGGAUAAUACAUGGAUGUCUUCCAAUCGAUUGUCGAGAGAGUACGAGAAUGGGGUAUCAGAAUUCGUUAAGUUUGCCGUUGCGCACGCCGAGAGACCCCAAUAGAAUGAUAUGUCCUUGCUUGGGUAUUGUUAUGGGAACGGGUUGACGCAGUUCAGUUGACAUCGCAUCUAAUGAGGCAUGGAAUUGAUCGAAGUUAUACAUGUUGGAAUUUGCAUGGUGAGAAAAGUACGAGAAUGUUGAACCGGGGAAUAGUACGACCUAUGCCUCAAACUAUAGUGGUGCAGAUACAACGAUUGUGAUCGAGUUGAAGAGAUUGCAGAAGCACUUGAAGGAGAUCUUAAGGAUUGUCCCGAAAUGUUUGAGAGGUUUGUAAGUGAUGCAGAGAAACCUUUGUAUGAUGGUUGCACUAAAUUCACAAGAUUGUCUGCAGUAUAAAGUUGUACAACUUAAAGGCGGGCAAUGGAUGGUCGAAUAAAAGUUUCACAGAGUUAUUAGGCCUUUUGAAAGAUAUGCUUCUGAGGAUAAUGUUCUUCCCAAUCAAACAUAUGAGACCAAAAAGAUGUUGUGCUCUAUUGGCAUGAGCUAUGAUAAGAUACAUGCAUGUCCAAACGAUUGCGUUUUGUUUCGAAAUGAGUAUGCAUCGUUAAAUGGGUGUCCUAAAUGCGGUGUCUCGCGAUAUAAAAACAAGUUGUCUCCAGCAAAAGUCUUGUGGUAUUUCCUGUUAUUCCGAGAUUUAGACGCAUGUUUCGUAGUGAAACCGAUUCAAGACACUUGACCUGGCAUGCAGAUGAAAGAAUUAUAGAUGGAAAGUAUCGACAUCCGGCAGAUUCACCACAGUGGUUGAAAAUUGAUAAUGAUUACCUGAAUUUGGAGAAGAUCAAGAAACCUUCGCUUGGCAUUAUCUACUGAUGGAAUGAACCCACACGGUAUCCAGAGUAUCUCACACAGUACAAUGGCCUGUGAUAUUAUGAUUUAUAACCUACCUCCAUGGCUAUGUAUGAAGCGUAAGUACAUGAGUUGUCUAUGUUGAUUUCUGGACCUAACAACCAGGGAAUGACAUAGACGUGUACUUGAAGCCCUUAAUCGAAGAUUUAAAGAUUUGUGGGAGACCGGUGUGGAGGUUUAUGAUGGAUAUAGGAAAGAAAGUUUCAACUUGAGGGCGAUGUUGUUUGGCACAAUUAAUGAUUUUCCCAGCAUACGGAAAUCUAUCAGGGUAUAGCAUAAAAGGUCAAUGUGCGUGUCCUAUUUGUGAAGAUAAAACAGAUUGGAAGCGCUUGGAGUUUGGUCAAGAAGAAUGUCUUUCUCGGUCAUCGGAGAUUCUUAAAUCAAAUCAUCACUACCGUGGAUGGAGAAAGGCGUUCAAUGGAGAGACAGAACAAGGCAGACGCUCCAACCUAUAUUGACGGGUGUCAAUUUUUGAAAAGGUGAAAGAUUUGGAUACUCAGUUUGGCAAGCCUUUUGCCCACACACUUGUCAAAGUGGGUGGAAGAAGAGGUCAGUUUUUUUUGAAUUGCCGUUUUGGAAGUCCUUGUAUGUGAGACAUUUUCUUGAUGUUAUUGCAUAUUGAAAAAAAAUGUAUUUGAAAGUGUUAUUGCACGUUACUCAAUAUACAAGGAAAGUCUAAGGAUGGCCUUAAGGCAAGAAAGGACUUGAUAGCGAUGGGAAUAAGAACUGAAUUAGGACCCUUGAAGAAAGGAAGACGAAACAUAUCUACCGCCUGCUGCUUAUACUCUAUCUAGAAAGGAGAAAAAACAUUGUGUAAGUUCUAGUGAAGUUAAAGUUCCAGAAGGGUACUUUCAGAUAUUAGAAGACUUGUGUCUAUGAAAGACCUCAAGUUAAAGAGUUUAAAGACCCAUGAUUGCCAUGUUAUAAUGGAACAUUUUCUCCCAAUAGGUAUACGUUCUAUUCUUCCAGAAAAAGUAAGAAGCUCUAUAACUAAGUUGUGUUCUUUCUUCAAGUCAAUUUGCAGUAAGGUGAUCAAUCCUGCGAUCUUACCAAUGUUGCAAAAAGAAAUCGUUAUUACUUUGUAUGAGCUUGAAAUGUUUUUUCCUCCAUCAUUUUUUGACAUAAUGGUACAUCUAGUUGUUCAUCUUGUGAAAGAGACACAAUUGUGUGGACCAGCUUAUAUGAGAUGGAUGUACCCUAUUGAACGUCAUAUGAAAAUAUUAAAAGGGUACGUGAAGAACGCGAAGUCGACCAGAAGGUUGUAUGGUUGAAAGAUACAUUGUUGAAGAAGCGCGAUUGAGUUUUGUACUGAAUAUUUGUCUAAUGUUCAGUCAUUCGACUCCCUAAGUCUCAACUUGUCGAAAAGAAAGAAGGAAAAAAUCUAAUUGGAAAUAAAAUCGUGCAGUAUCAGGGUCGAACGGGAUCAAUGCAUUUGUAUGUUCUGCACAAUGAGAAUGAGGUUGAGCCGUAUGUUGAAAUUCACAAGGAUGUUCUCUGAGGUUUAAAAUCCCAAUAGAAAUGAAAAUUGGAUAGUACGGAGAGCACAAUCGAUGUUUUUAUACCUUGGUUUAAGGAUCAUAUUUAUUCAAAGUAUUAUUCAGAUCCCGCUUCAAUAACAGAAAGUGUUGAGAUGCUUAGCAUAUGGUCCAAGUUUCCAUGUUUUUUCUAUAGCGCAUACGCGAUUAAUGGAUACACAUUUUAUACCAAAGAACAAGAUGAUAAAAGUACUAUGCAAAAUAGUGUGUCACCGUGGUAGCUGAAGCAAUGCACAUAUCAAGUGUGAAGGACUUAACCCCAAAUUUGCAAAUCUGUCGUAUUUUGGUGUUAUCGAGCGCAUUUGGGUGUUUGAUUAUGAGAAGUUUCAGAUCCUAUAUUUGGUUGCAAGUGGGUUGAAAACAAUAACGGCAUUCGAAUGGAUAAGUCAGGAUUUUGCAAGUGGAUAUUAAUGAGGUGGGAUACAAAGAUGAGUCUUUUAUUCUAGUCUCUCAAGCUAGACAAGUGUUCUUGUCAUGAUCCGAAAGUACGAAAUGGUCUAUAGUUCUUUUUCCAACAAAGUAAUUGAUGAAAACACUGGAGAUCAAGGUGAUAUUGAUGUUGAGAUUGAGUCGUUUACCAGAAAUGAUCAAGAUGAGAAUAUAUAUCAAAUGAUUCAUAUAUUAGAAAUGAUCAUAAUGAGGGUAUUUGGAUCAAUCCAACCGUCCGUGUUGUUAAGAGACAUGUAGAACAUAUUCCAACAAAGAAAAGAAAGAGAACUUAGUGAAAAGGUACAGGUCAAAUGAUUUUAAUUGUUUUCUUUAUUACAGGUAAAAUGACUUUUAUGAUUUUAAUUGUUUUUACAUUUUGUCAUCUGAUUUUAAUUGUUUUCUUUAUUACAGGUAAAAUGGCUAUUAUGAAGUCAAUCAUUCGUGCAAGGGGCAAGGAUACUUGAAAGUAUCAAUUGAUAUGUGUUUAGAUGGAGAUGUUCAUUGUCGUCAAGCCUCAUUCGCGUAGAUGAUGAAUGCUGGAUAUUUGAAGUAUCCCUCUACGACAAUGGAACAUGUCCAUCUAAACAAAUAUCAAUUCUAUCUUCAAAAGAUAGGACCAAAAAAUAUAUAAGGGGAUUACGCAGCAAUCGAGUCAGUUGCAUAAAAAAAAAGGUAUAAACACAAUUAUAAUAUUUUAUGCAUAGAAAAUGUUAAUUCUUGAUCUUAACAUCACCUAACUAAUUUUAUGAUUAUUUUAGGUUCAUGCUAUUGAUAUUGAACAAAAAAGAGGUUGUUGCUAAGAAGACUGCUGCUAGCAAAAAAAACAUACAUCUCAGAGAUGCUUUUGCUACUUAGUUUUAUUUCUUUUUAAAGUUAUGAAUUGGUUGUAUAUUUAGAAUCUUUGAAGUUAAAACGAUUAUGUAUCAGGGGAUGUUGUAUAUGUAUGGAUUGUUGUAUAUAAGGCUGUUGAAUGCAAUGUGUGAAAAAGGGCUUCAAAUAUACAGUUUUGGGUGUACUGCUUCAUAUAAUACAGGUUGGUCUAAAAUAAAUAAAAAAAUAUAGCGCUUUUUAAAAAAAAAAUUAAUUAAAUAACCACCCACUUUAGAGGGCGCUUCCCAAAAUAAAGCGCCCUCUAAACCCUUUAAAUUUCCACUUUAGAGGGCCGCUUUCAGUAAAAGCGCCCUCUAACCCAAAAAGUUUCCACUUUAAGAGGGCGGUUUCUAGUAAAAGGCGUCCUCUAAACCCUUAAAUGUUUCCACUUUAGAGGGCGGCUUCUUUAAAAAAGCUCCCUCUAAAGUGGCCCAUAAAGGGCUUAAAGAGCCACUUAAGACAGCGCUUUCACCAGGAAAAAAAGUGUUGUCUUUACUAUGCCAGCCGCAGAUUAGAGGGCGCUUUAAAGCGCUGUUAUAGGCCAAAAAAGCGCCCUCUUUUCCCUUAUUUGGCGUAGUGGUCUAAUUUUUAGGCCCCGCAUCCCUCAACUAUCACACCGCCCCGCCUCGUCCCGUUUUUUUGCGGGAUUUUACGGGACGGACAUAUAACGGGACGGAUAUGCCCGUUUGCCACAUUACGCACUACUGUAUCAAUAAAUAUAUAAUAUAGAUCAUUGUCUAAUUUCUCAUAGACUGUCAACGAAUAUAUACAACAAAUUACCCAAACUACCCAAACUACAUGCCUAAAGAUUAAGAGAUUAUUGAUGAGAAGUUACGUAUGAGCUAAUGUUAUUAAAAUAUAACAUUCUAGGAGCUACGUAUUUUGUCAGCUAAUGACAUAGUCAAUUACAUCAGUUAAUUGUUGUUAAUAAUUACAUACUAAAAACAACAGUUAAUUAUUAACACAUAAAAAUGGGACUGCAUGAUGCAAACACAACUGUCAUGGUAAGUUAAUCAUGCAAAAGGGGACAAACCAAUCACUGCUCAUGAUUUUUUAUGGAAAAUUGUCUUCUUUGUGAAAACACACUAUAAAAAAUGUGUUUUAUUACGAGGAUUUUCAAUCCCAAAAAAUUGUAUUACCGGAGUUUUGAAAACCGCCGUUAAUACCACCGUUCCCAAAUAUAUUCGCAAGAAUUUUAGGUAACCGCUGAUAUCCUAUUUAAACUGGAGAAAUUUAUAUUUUGAAGGUCGAAAACUCUUGUAAAUUAUUAUUAAUGUGAAAAAAAAUAACAACUCUUUAGAUUUCAUUGGAAAUAUAAUUAUGACAAAAUCAAAUGAUAUGUAUAUAAAAAUUACGCUGAUACAACUGAAAAUUCUUAAUGGCCAAAAUAAAAUAUAAUCCUAAAUAAAGAACAAUAAACAUUCCAAGAAUGAAACAAAUCAUACUCAACAUAACUUUACAACAUAUCAAGUAUUAAGUAUUAUGUAAUAUCUUAUUAUUUCAUGAAAGAAAACUCUAGUUCCAAGAAGUUACAAUGAUCGUUUUUUAUUACAUCAUAAAAGAAACGUCAUUAUAAAGAGUUUGCAAAGAAAAGCUACAUGAAUAAAUGAAUUUUUCCAUUUCUAAAAUAAUAAAAGUUAUUACUAUAAUAGGAAGCUCCAAUUAGAUUAUAAAAUAUAAGUAAACUUUCAUUGCUGGUGGCAACUCCUGGUUCUUGUUCCUUUACUCUGGAAGAAUGUUCUUUACAGAUGAAGUUUCUAAGAUCACUUGUAAUGCUUAACAUAUAUUAUCAAAGAAAAAUAAAUAAAUAAAUAUUUCAAUUGCCUUUGUUUCUCUUCUUGAAAUUGUUUUUUGUUUUUAUUCUAAUUAGUUAAUGGAAUAAUACAUGAGCCUCCAAUCGAUUUGUCGAGAGAGUACGAGGCAUGGGUAUCAAAUUCGUUAAAGUUUGCCGUUGCGCACGCCGAAGAACCCAAUAGAAUGAUAUGUCUUGCUUGCGGUUUAUUGUUAUGGGAAACGGGUUGACGCAGUUCAGUUGGACAUCGCAUUCUACAUGAGGCAUGGAUUUGAUCGAAGUUAUAACAUGUUGAAUUUGGCAUGGUGAGAAAAGUACGAUGAAAUCGUUGAACCGGGGGAUUAUACGAACCUAUGCCUCAAACUAUAGUGGUGCGAUAAUACGAUUGUUGAUCGAGUUGAAGAGAUUGCAGAAGCACUUGGAAGGAGAUCUUAAGGAUUGUCCCGACAUGUUUGAGAGGUUUGUAAGUGAUGCAGAGAAACCCUUGUUAUGAUGGUUCACUAAAUUGCAGCAAGAUUGUCUGGCAGUAUUAGUUGUACAACUUAAAGGCGGGCAAUGGAUGUCGAAUAAAAGUUUCACAGGAGUUACUUUUAGGCCUUUUGAAAGAAUAUGCUCCUGGGAUAAAUGUUCCUUUCCCAAUCAAACAUAUGAGACCAAAAAAGAUGUGUGCUCUAUUGGCAUGAGCUAUGAAUUAAGAUACAUGCAUGUCCAAACGGAUUGCGUUUUGUUUCGAAUGAGUAUGCAUCGUUAAAUGAGUGUCGCCUAAAUGCGGUGUCUCGCGAAUAUAAGAACAAGUUGGUCUCCAGCAAAAGUCUUUGUGGUAUUUCCUGUUAUUCCGAAUUUUAGACGCAUGUUUCGUAGUGAAACCCGAUUCAAGACACUUGACCUGGCAUGUGCAGAUGAAAAGAAUUAUAGAUGGAAAGUAUCAGACAUCUCGGCAGAUCUCACCACAGUGCGUUGAAAAUUGAUAUAUGGAUUAUCUGAAUUUGGAUGAAGAAUCAGAAAACCUUCGCUUGGCAUUAUCUACUGAUGGAAUGAACCCACACGGUAUCCCAGGAGUUAUCUCACACAGUACAUAUGGCCUGUGAUAUUUAUGAUUUAUAACCUACCCUCCAAUGGCUAUGUAAUGAAGCGUAAGUACAUGAUGUUGUCUUAUGUUGAUUUUUGACCUAAACAACCAGGAGAAUGACAUAGACUUGUCACUUGAAGCCUUAAUCGAAGAUUUAAAAGAUUUUGUGGGAGAACCGGUGUGGAGGUUUUAUGAUGGAUAUAGGAAAGAAAAGUUUCAACUUGAGGGCGAUGUUGUUUGGGCACUAUUAAUGAUUUUCCAGCAUACGGAAAUCUAUCAGGGUUAUAGCAUAAAAGGUCAAUGUGCGUGUCCUAUUUGUGAAGAUAAAACAGAUUGGAUAGCGCUUGGAGUUUGGUCAGAAGAAUGUCUUUCUCGGUCAUUCGAGAUUCUUAAAUUCAAAUCAUCAACUACCGUUGGAUGGAGAAAGGCGUUCAAUGGAGAGACAGAACAAGGCAGAGCCCUCCACCUUAUUAUGACGGGAUCAAAUUUUUGAAAAGGUGAAAAGAUUUUGGUACUCAGUUUGGCCAGCCUUUUUGCCCACAACACUUGUCAAAAUGGGUGGAAGAGAGGUCUAGUUUUUUUUUGAAUUGCCGUAUUGGAGUCCUUGUAUGUGAGACAUUUUCUUUGAUGUUAUGCAUAUGAAAAAAAAUGGUAUUUGAAAGUGUUAUUGCACGUUUAAACUCAAUAUACAAGGAAAGUCUCAAGGAAUGGCCUUAAGGCACCAGAAAAGGAAUUUGAAUGGCGAUGGGAAUAAGAACUGAAAUUAGACCCUUUGAGAAAGGAAGACGAAAAAUAUCUACCGCCUGCUGCUUAUACUUCUAUUACUAGAAAGGAGAAAAACAUAUGUGUAAGUUUCUAAGUGAAGUUAAAAGUUCCAGGAAGGGUACUCUUCAGAUAUUAGAAGACUUGUGUUCUAUGAAAGAACGCGUCAAGUUAAAGAGUUUAAAGACCGCGGCAUGAUUGCCAUGUAAAAUAAUGGAACAUUUUCCUCCAACUAGGUAUUCGUUCUAUUCUUCCAGAAAAAGUAGAAGCUCUAUAAACUAAGUUGUGUUCUUUCUUCAAGUCAAUUUGCAGUAAGCGUGAUCAAUCCUGCCGAUCUUACCAAAUGUUGCAAAAAGAAAUCGUUAUUACUUUGUAUGAGGCUUGAAAUGUUUUUUCCUCCAUCAUUUUUUUUGACAUAAUGGUCACAUACUAGUUGUUCAUCUUGUGAAAGAGACACAUUGUGUGGACCAGCUUAUAUGAGAUGGAUGUACGCCCUAUUGAACGUCAUAUGAAAAUAUUAAAAAGGGUACGUGAAGAAACGCGAAGUCGACCAGAAGGUUGUAUGGUUGAAAGAUACAUUGUUUGAAGAAGCGAUUGUUAGCUUUGUAGCUUGAAUAUUUGUCUAAUGUUCAGUCAUCUCGACUCGCCUAAGUCCUCAAACUUGUCGAAAAGGAAAGAAGGAAAAAAUCUAAUUGGAAAUAAAAUCGUGGCCGUAUCAAAGGGUGCGAAACGGGAGAUCACAGUGCAUUUGUAUGUUCUGCACAAGGAGAAUGAGGUCUGAGCCGUAGUGUUGAAAUUCACAAGGAUGUUGCUCUGAGGUUUUAAAUCCCAAUAGACAUGAAAAUUGAUAGUACGGAGAGCACAAUCCGAUGUUUUACUACCUGGUUUAAGGUUAUCAUAUUUAUUCAAAAGUAUUAUUCAGAUCCCGCUUCAAUACAGAAACGUUUGAGAUGCUAGCAUAUGGGUCCAAGUUUCCAGUGUUUUUUCUUACUAGCGCAUACGCGAUUAAUGGAUUACACAUUUUUUUAUACCAAAGAAACAAGAUAUGAUAAAAGUACUUGCAAAACAGUGGUGUCACCGUGGUAUUCUGAAGCAAUAGCACAUAUCAAGUUGAUGAAAGGAACUUAAACCCCAAAUUUGCAAAUCUGUCAGUAUUUUUGGUGUUAUCCGAGCGCAUUUGGGUGUUGAUUAUGAGAAGUUUUCAGAUCCUUUAUAUUUGGUUGCAAGUGGGUUGAAAACAAUAACGGAUUAUCGAAUGGAUAAGUCAGGAUUUUUUGCAAAGUGGAUAUUUAAUAGGGUGGGAUACACAAAGAUGAGGUCUUUUAUUCUAGUCUCUUCAAGCUUAGACAAGUGUUCUAUGUCAAUGAUCCGAAAAGUACGAAAUGGUCUAUAGUUACUUUUUUCCAAACAAAGUAAUUGAUGAAAACACUGGAGAUCAAGGUGAUAUUGAUGUUGGAUUGAGUCGUUUUACCAGAAAAUGAUCAAGAUCGAGAAUAUUAUAUCAAAUGAUUCAUAUUAGAAUGAUCUAAUGAGGGUAUUGGAUCAAUUCCAACCGUCCGUGUUGUUAAGAGACAUGUAGGAACAUAUUCCAAACCAGAAAAGGAAAGAGAACUUAGUCGAAAAGGUACAGCGUCAAAUGAUUUUAAUUGUUUCUUUAUUACAGUAAAAAUGACUUUUAUGAUUUAAUUGUUUUUACAUUUUCAUGCUGAUUUUAAUUGUUUUCUUUAUUACAGGUAAAAUGGCUAUUAUGAAGUCAAUCAUUCGUGCAAGGGCAAGGAUACUUGAAAGUAUCAAUGAUAUUUGUUUAGAUGGAGAUGUUUCCAUUGUCGUCAAGCCUCAUUCGCGUAGAUGAUGAUGCUGGAUAUUUGAAGUAUCCCUCUACGACAAUGGAACAUGUCCAUCUAAACAAUAUUCAAUUCUAUCUUCAAAGAUAAGGACCAAAAAUAUAAGGGGAUUACGCAGCAAUCGAGUCAGUUGCAUAAAAAAAAAGGUAUAAACACAAUUAUAUGAUAUUUAUGCAUAGAAAUGUUAAUUCUUGAUCUUAUACAUCACCUACUAAUUUUAUGAUAUUUUAGGUUCAUGCUAUUGAUAUUGAACAAAAGAGGUUGUUGCUAAGAAGACUGCUGCUAGCAAAAAAAACAUACAUCUCAGAGAUGCUUUUUGCUACUUAGUUUUAUUUCUUUUUAAGUUAUGAAUUGGUUGUAUAUUUAGAAUCUUUAGAAGUUAAACGAUUAUGUAUCAUGGAUGUUGUAUAUGUAUGGAUUGUUGAUAUUAAGGCUUGUUGAAUGCAAUGUGUGAAAAAGGGCUUCAAAUUAUACAGUUUUGGUGUACUGCUUCAAUAUACAGGUUGUCUAAAAUAAAUAAAAAAAUAUAGCGCUUUUUAAAAAAAAAAAUUAAAUAACCACCCACUUUAGAGGGCGCUUCCCAAAUAAAGCGCCCUCUAACCCUUUAAAUUUCCACUUAGAGGGCGCUUCAGUAAAGCGGCCCUCUAAACCCUAAAAAGUUUCCACUUUAGAGGGCGGUUUCUAGUAAAAGCGCCUCUAAAACCUUAAAUGUUUCCACUUUUAGAGGGCGCUUUCUUUAAAAAGCUCCCUCUAAAGUGGCCCAUAAAGGGCUUAAAGAGCCACUUUAGACAGCGCUUUCACCAGGAAAAAAAGUGUUGUCUUUACUAUGCCAGCGCCAGAUUAGAGGGCGCUUUAAAGCGCUGUUAUAGGCCAAAAAAGCGCCCUCUUUUCCUUAUUUGGCGUAGUGGUCUAAUUUUUAGGCCCGCCGAUCCUCCACUAUCACCGCCCCGCCUCGUCCCGUUUUUUUGCGGGAUUUUACGGACGGACAUAAACGGGACGAUAUGCCCGUUUGCCACAUUACGCACUACUGAUACAAUAAUAUAUAAUAUAAGAUCAUUGUCUAAUUUCUCAUAACUGUCAAACGAAUAUAUACAACAAAUUACCCAAACUACCCAAACUACAUGCCUAAAGAUUAAGAUAUAUUGAUGAGGAAGUUACGUAUGAGAUAUGUUAUUAAAAUAUAACAUUCUAGGAGCUACGUAUUUUGUCAGCUAAUGACAUAGUCAAUUACAUCAGUUAAUUGUUGUUAAUAAUUACAUACUAAAAACAACAGUUAAUUAUUAACACAUAAAAAGGACUGCAUGAUGCAAACACAACUGUCAUGGUAAGUUAAUCAUGCAAAAGGGGACAAACCAAUCACUCUCAUGAUUUUUAUGGAAAUUGUCUUCUUUGUGAAAACACACUAUAAAAAAUGUGUUUUAUUACGAGGAUUUCAAUCCCAAAAAAUUGUAUUACCGGAGUUUUUGAAAACCGCCGUUAUACCCACCGUUCCCAAAUAUAUUCGCAAGAAUUUUAGGUAAACCGCUUGAUAUCCUAUUUAAACUGGAGAAAUUUAUAUUUUGAAGGUCGAAAACUCUUGUAAAUUAUUAUUAAUGUGAAAAAAAAUAACAACUCUUUAGAUUUCAUUUGGAAAUAUAAUUAUGACAAAAUCAAAUGAUAUGUAUAUAAAAAUUACGCUGAUACAACUGAAAAUUCUUAAUGGCCAAAAUAAAAUAUAAUCCUAAAUAAAGAACAAUUAAACAUUCCAAGAUGAAACAAAUCAUACUCAACAUAACUUUACAACAUAUCAAGUAUUAAGUAUAUGUAAUAUCUUAUUAUUUCAUAAAGAAAACUCUAGUUCCAAGAAGUUUACAAUGAUCGUUUUUUUAUACAUCAUAAAAAACGUCAUUAUAAAGAGUUUGCAAAGAAAACGCAACCAUUGGAAAAUAAGAAUUUAAAAUUUUCCAUUUCUAAAAUAAUAAAAGUUAUACUAUAAUAGGAAGCUCCAAUUAGAUUAUUAAAUAUAAGUAAACUUCAUUGCUGGUGGCAACUCCUGGUUCUUGUUCCUUUACUCUGGAAGAAUGUUUCUUUACAGAUGAAGUUUCUAAGUAUCACUUGUAAUGCUUAACAUAUAUUAUCAAAGAAAAAUAAAUAAAUAAAUAUUUCAAUUGCCUUAUUUUAUUUUAUUACCAAUAUUUUAAAGUAAAAGUCUUACAUGUAUGGUCUUCUGAAAUUUUGUAAAAAAAAUAAAGUAUACUUAUUAUGGUUAGUUACAACAAUUCUUGGCAACUAGGAAUAUUUUAUUAUAAAGUUGUGUAAGAACUCAUUUUUUNNNNNNNNNNNNNNNNNNNNNNNCUAUAAUUUUAUCCUUUUUACCAAUAUCUUUAAAGUACAGAGAAUCUUACUAUGUAUGUCUCGCAUACCAAUUAUUCGUAACAAAAAUAGAAAGGUAGGUGGUUACUAAUUUAUGGUUAGAUUACAACAAUAUUCACUUGGCCACUAGCGCAAUAUUCAUUUAUAAUAGUUGGGUGCUAAGAAACUCAGUUUGGUUGGGCACUUAUAUUGACGCCCAACUUACUUCUUUACCAUAGAAAUUCGACAUAGGAUUGUCAGAGCUGCACGUGUCGCAGAGGGGUGUUGUAAUACGAUUUAAUUAAUAUAGGAAUAUCGUCUAUCUUGUAUCAUACAAUUAUCAAAUCUAUUUUCGAACCAUUCAACUAUUUACUGUAAUAAAAUUGAACCAAGAUAACAGAAUAAUAUUAAUAACUUUAACCAAUAAAAAAAUUGAGGUUUCUAUGUAAAAAAAUAUAAAGCUCAUAAAUUUAAAAGGUUACGAAAAUGAUCCAUAGCUGCAAAUGUUGUCUUAUUCAAUUACACCAAAAUCACAGAGCUCAGAUGAAAAUCAUAAACAACCAUGGAACAAUAUUUCGAGAGAGUAUUAGAUUCUCUCUCUCUCUUUCUUUUUCAUGUAUUGACCCCAACUUCUUUCUUUCCUAGAAAUCGACAUAGAUUGUCAAUGCACUUCACGAUGUGAGAUUUAUUAAUAUUAGGAAACGUUUCUUGACAAAAUUCAUCUGUUUCGCAUUCAACUUUUACUGUAAUAAAAUAACAAAAUAAAGAAUAAUAUUAAUAGAAAAAAUAAAAAAUUGAGUUCAAAGUAAAAAAAAUAAAGCUCAAAAUUUAAAAAGGUUAGAAAAAUAUCUUACUGCAAAUGUUUCUUUCAAUAAAAAAUACAGAAAUCAAUAAAAUCAUAAAAUGAACAAUAUUGAGAAAUUUAGUCAUAUUUUCUCUUUUUGCAUGUUAUAGUUAUAAUAUGAUAUGAUCAAUUUAUAGUGUAUAAUCUUAUCCUAAGUUAAAAUAAAUUAAUUAUCUUUAGCCCUUGAGAAAUAGGGAAAAACAUCAUUAAAUUGCUAAUGUGUAUAUUUUUAUUAGAUUAAUGUGUUAUGUUUGUCCUUUGACACAUUAAAGAGUAACAUGCAAAACUUUCUUAUCAUUAGAAUUCACUCUUCUUAAAUUAAUAGAGAAAUAAUAUUUUAUUUAUUUCUAAAAUAGUUACAAACGCAUAGUUUACCGAUAGUUAAACUUAUUGUAAGUUUUUUUUUAAAGAUAAAAUCAUUUGAUUUUAGGAAAUGAAUAUUAAAUUUUGUAGUUAUUUGAUUUUAGGGUUGGAGAAUUCGUGUGGUUCAAUUCGAUAAGAAUUAGUCCAAUUCAAAAUUUGACUCGAGUUCAACCCGAUUUUUUUAAAGGUUAAAUUCACGAAUAAUUUAUUUCAAUUCGAUAGGUUCAACUUCCUGCUCUACAGAUUAAAAAUCCAUUUUUUUAAAUCUAUUUUUCAUUUAUAUUUGACAUUUUAAAUUAAUAAUUUUUGUAAAAGAAAAAUAUUUAAAUAUAAUAAAAAUUAUAAGAUUAAAAUUUAACUUUUUCUCAAAAAUCCUUAAUGUUUUUAUUUAUAAGAAGAAUUUUAUUAAAUUAAAAAUUUUAAUUUUUAAUUACUCUAUACAAUUUUUUUUUACAUGAUGAUGAAUUUAUUUGUAUAAUUAUUUUAAAUAUAUUUUGUUCACUUGGGAAUAUAAAUGAUCAAUUAAAACCGUCAAAUUAAAAGAAAAAUUAGAAGAUUUAUAGUAAGGUUUUAAGCAUAUUCUUAGAGUCAAUAUAAUUUAUCUCAUAUAUAAUCGAGUUGAUUCAUGAACCUAAUGACUUGAGUUAUACAUAGUUCAAAUCUACCUCAUUUAAUUAAGAAACUUAAUUUUUUGUUCAUAUUCAGCUCAUUUAGUUCAUGAACCUAGUUCAAUGAUUUAGUUUUCGAAUUGAAUUUUGAAUUAUGUUUGAAUUUGUCUAGUUCAUUGAUAGCUCUAUUUGAUUUCGUAACAUUAUCAUUCACAUAAAUCUUGUAAUAACCCAUAUAAUAUAUAUCUAGAAUAAUAUCAUACAAGUUUUAUUAUUUUUUUGGUACUAUCACAACAUAAGUGCCUAACGACAUCUUUAUAUACAUGCCCAUAAAAUAAAAUACAACAUAUGGAACAUGUCAUGCGAUAGUGCCUAAAUAAAGAUCUAAGAACUAUGUAUAAUAUCUACAAUUAUACAAAUCUACUGUAGAAGAUCAUAAUAAAAUCUUUCCUUGAAACAUCAAUGCACAACUCCUCUUGUACAAUAUAUCCUAUAAACAAUACCUGGAAAAAAACAAUAAUAUUGGGGUGAGAUAAUAAUCUCAGUGAGUUCUUCUAUCUUAUGGGUUCACUCGACUCUAUAGAGUUUUCUAAUCGAUUUCCUAACUCAAGUCACAAAGGGGGAAAUCUGGAGUUCCCAAAACUCGCAAUGUAUAGAAAUACGCCUCUUGAGUUCAUCGACUCAAACAAUCACUAAUCAAAAACCAUUACAAGGUAUCUUCCCCCGUCCAACCCUACGUCUAGGAUUAUCGACAUGGAUCAUGAAUCCUUGUAUAUACUUUGAAAUACGCACAGACUUCGAAUUCUAAGUGAUCACAUCCACUUCAAGAAUCGUCGCUUCCUGUGGGACUCAAAACUCAUUUCAAAACUUUUACUCGUAUGGGACUCAUCCCACUUUGGGAUCUACCGCCUUUGGGACUCACGCCCAGGUCAUAAGUAUUGGUGUGUACGUCCCAAUUCUUACUAUAUAUGAGCAUCACAACUUGGGACAACACAAUCAACGGGUUAUUUCUGACUAUGUGACAAGAUAGAAAUACAACGUAAUUGUAUUCAAAAAUCACAAGGUAAUCACGUUCAUCUUCAUCACACAACAACACAACAUGUUCCAUACAAUGCAUCCCACUCUCAACUAUGGCAACGAUCCAUCCAUGACACUCAACUAGGUAUCAUAUAGAAUAAACGCCGCCAUCUAACGUUAUUUAUGCCAUAUGUCUAACUUCUUAACCUAAUUAGAACUCUAGGUUAACUCACAUUAUUCAUCAUGUUUCUCUCUCAUAUAUUGUUGAUUUAAUACAUACAUAUCAUAACAUAUGUCAUAAGGCACACAUAUGGAAAAGAUAGCAUAUUCCAUUUAUCCCAAACAAAAUGCAAUAAAUUACCAUGAUCAUAUAAAGCUUUAAACAAGCUUUCUAAUGCAUUUGACCGCACAUCGAACAGAUUUAUGAAACUCAAGUUAUGCCACAAACAAUGCAGAGGAAUAACACAAAAACCAGUUAACCGUGCUAAGCGCCAUCUGAGCAUGCUAUUGUGAUUUGAGAAUGUUAUCUGGAGAAUUGUGUCACCCUUUUUGAGUAUUUUAUUCUGCAUAUUUUAUAAAUUAAAUGUCUGGGGUUUAUGGUUUUACAACCAGACCCCAACCAUAUACAAUUGAUCAAAGUAUUUCAUUUCCCUUAAGCGGUGAGCGAUCGUCCUCUUGAUUUCCGUAACGUCGUUGGCUCCUUUUCUUCAAACAAUAAUCGAAUUUGUUUCUUAGUCUAAUAAUCGAAAUCUUUCAAAUAUAUAUUCAAAUAAACAAAAAAGUAUUUGGACAAAUAAUCAAAUAAUGCAAGCACAAAUAAACCUUCGACAUCAUAUAUCAGACCUAUAGCAACUUAUUAAGCUAAUGAUAACAGUCCUAAAGUAUCUUAAAUUAUUUUAUGCUAACCGUCCAAACGUAUAUAGAUAUUUUCCCCAUAUUUUGUUGUUAAGCAUUGUUGAAAGUCCACGACCGCUUCCUCCGAUCUUUGACUAGAACUUAAUUUCAAUAACCGUUGAAUUGUACAAAAUUUAUAAAAUAAUUAUAAUAUAAUUUACGCAGAAUUUCAUAAACUUGUUAUUACUUGAAAUAUUUACUUUAAAAUAUUUAAUAGUAACCUCCACUAUAUUUGAAUAAUUAUUAAACUCAAAUAUAAAUUAGACUAUAGCCUGUUUGGAUUUGUUGAUUUUAGAAAAUUAUCAAGAGUAUAUUUCUAAUAACCUUUUAAUUUUAUAAUAACACUUGAGCAUUAUAAUGACUUAAAAUGGUAAAAUUUAUCUUUUAUUAGGAUAUCAAUUUGGACUUUAUAAGUUCAAUACCUCUAUGCUGAAUGGAAAUUUAAAUAGAAAAUUUAAAAUAACCUUAUAUGAAUAAAAUAAUUAAAUUAAUAUAAUUAAAAUAAAAUGGACAUUAUAACGACUUACUAGUUACUUAUGAAAAUAAUUGUGGCGGCAAUGAAGCGUAUAAAAUCAAACUCCUUUGAAAUUUUAGAAGCAUUUUGACCAUAUAAUAGCUCUAAAAGCUAUGAACCAAUACUGUGAAAACCUCGAUAACAAAAACUAAUAUCGUUGUAUGAAGAAAAAAAAAUAGAGUGGUGAGAGAAAUGAAUUCUGAAUGGAUAAAUGAAAAUGGGGUGGAAUAAACCCUUAUAUAUACUAGUUGUAAGAUUUAUAUAUAUAUAUAUAAUAUAUAAUAUUAUAUAUAUAUAUAUAUAUAUAUUAUAUAUAUAAAUAUAUAUAUAUAUAUAUAUUAUAUUGAGAUUAAUUCUAUACGAUAAAAAGUUUACACCGUCGGUUCAUCACCAUCACCUGUUUGUAUUACUUUAUAGAUUUUUAAAUAAAAGUCAAACUUCUUUUAAUAUUCACGUCUAUAAUUAAGUGAUGGUGUAAAACUUUUUUACACCUGACAGUGAUUUCAAUUAAUAUCUCUCAUCUCUCUCCUCUCUCUCUUUUCUCUCGUCUCCUUCUCUCUCUCUCUCUCUCUCUCUCUCUCUCUCUCUCUCUGAUGGUUAUAAUUUGAUUUAAUGCUUGUAUUUUUUAAAUCUACACUUUUUUUACUAAUCCAUUCUGAAAAGUUAUUAAUACUUUGCAGAAUAAACUAAAAGAGAAAGAAGUGUUGGUUGAAGAAUUAUAAGCAUUGAACUAAAUUCUAACUGUUAAAGGAGAUACAGAUAAUGGAUUGUAGAAAGAUCGAAAAACAUUUAUUAAUGUAACUUGUUCUUCUAAUAUUACUCAAUUUAUUAUUUUAUUAAUAUCUAAUUAGAGUGAAAGGUUAUAUGUUUAUUGAGAAUUUAAUGAAAUAAGAAUUUCACAUAUUUUACGAUCAGACUUUAUAAAAAAACCUGUAAAACAAACAAAGAGUAAGCACGGAAUAAAGAAAGUCAGAGUAUAAAGAAAGAAAUACAUCAUAAGUAAAUAAGUGGUAAAAUGUAAACAAAAAAGGAUACAAAAAGAUGCACUAUAGGUUUAUAGAGGUUCGACUUAAUCACUUGACUUACUCAUCUCCUUGAAAAUUUCUUCAUGAGAGUUUAAAACCAGAGUUUAGAAAAAGUUUGUAGAACAAAAAUGAAAUAAGCAGUGGAAUAUAGAAAAUCGGAAUAGAAAGAAAGACAUACAUGAAAAGUAAAUUAAUUACUAAAAUAUAAAUAAAUAAGGGUAGAGAAAGAUGCACCAGCACUUUAUAGAGGUUCGACUUAACCACUUGACCUACUCAUCUCCCCGAAAAUUUCUUCUUGAGAGUUUCCACUGUGUUGUGAGGUUUUUACAAGUUUUUCCCACGAAUCUCCUUAAAAACAAACUUGAGUUUUAAAAUGGAUAAUCUCUAAACUAAACUUAGAAUUUUUUCCCACGAGAUGUUGUACAAGAUUAAUCCCAAACAAGAUGAGAGUUUUUAUACCAAGCGUAGCUCAGAAACCAAGUGGAGGUUUUAACGAAUAGGUGAAGCUCACGAACUAUGUGGAUAUUUCAACAGACAAUCUCUUGAAUCAAACAAGAGCUUUUACAAUAGGAAAAGUUCAAGAACAAAAAGUGAUAUUUGAACGGACAAUCCCAUAAACUAAACAAGAGCUUUUUAACUUGGUUUUGAUCAUAAUCAAACUAAAAAUAUCACAAGAAAUAUUACAAAAUUACCCUCACAUCCGAACCAAAUAACUCACAUGUAAAUUUCACUCUCAAAUCACUACGGUAAAAGCGAGGAAGAACUAAAGAGAGAGAAGAGAGUGAAUAAUGAGAAGGAGUGGUCAAAAUACAUUUUAUAGUAUGUAAGAAAUGAGAAAUCAUCCUUCUAUUUAUAGGACAAAGUGUGAUACAAAAAUGUAAAGAAUUCAUGGACUUUUUAAUAUUCACAACCAAUAAUGCAUAUGACAUAAUCGAUUAUGCAAUUCAAAUAUUUAAUGUUUUUAAAUGACACUUUCACUUAUCAAUUGUAGCUCCGUCUAAUCGAUUAGGGUUACAUAAGUGAUAAUUGAUUAAUCAAGUGUGAUAAUCAAUUAUGUCAUGUAAAAAUCCUCUUAGUGUGAUAAUCAAAAAGGUUUUCAAGUAGUUUUACUAAAACCGGAGAGGAUUUUCGAUCAUUCAAACGGUGUAAUCGAGCUACUGAAACAAAAAAGAUAUAAUAUAAGAUCAUUGUCUAAUUUCUCAUAGACUGUCAAAGGAAUGUAUACAACAAAUUUCCCAAACUACAUGCCUAAAGAUUAAGAGAUACCUAUGUUGUCAGCUAAUGACAUAGUCAAUUACAUCAGUUAAUUAUUAACACAAUAAAAAUGGAACUGCAUGGUGCAAACACAACUGUCAUGCUAAGUUAAUCAUGCAAAAGGGUGACAAACCAAUCACUGCUCAUGAUUUUUUAUGGAAAAUUGUCUUCUUUGUGAAAAGACACUAUAAAAAAUGUGUUUGAUUACGAGGAUUUUCAAUCCCAAAAAAUUGUAUUACGGGAGUUUUGAAAACCGCCGCUAAUACAGGUCCCAAAUAUAUUCGCAAGGAUUUUAGGUAACCGCUGAUAUCCUAUUUAAACCGGAGAAAUUUUUAUUUUGAAGACUCUUGUAAAUUAUUAUUAGUGUGACAAAAAAUAACAACUCAUUAGAUUUCAUUGGAAGUAUAAUUAUGAUAAAAUCAAAUGAUAUGUAUAUUAAAAUUAUGCUGAUACAACUGAAAAUUCUUAAUCGCCAAAAUAAAAUAUUAUCCUAAAUAAAGAACAUUAAACAUUCCAAGAAUGAAACAAAUCAUACUCAACAUAACUUUACAACAUAUCAAGUAUUAAGUAUUAUGUAAUAUCUUAUUAUUUCAUGAAAGAAAACUCUAGUUCCAAGAAGUUAUAAUGAUCGUUUUUUAUUACAUCAUAAAAGAAACGUCAUUAUAAAGAGUUUGCAAAGAAAAGCUACAUGAAUAAAUGAAUUUUUCCAUUUCUAAAAUAAUAAAAGUUAUUACUAUAAUAGGAAGCUCCAAUUAGAUUAUAAAAUAUAAGUAAACUUUCAUUGCUGGUUGCAACUCCUGGUUCUUGUUCCUUUACUCUGGAAGAAUGUUCUUUACAGAUGAAGUUUCUAAGAUCACUUGUAAUGCUUAACAUAUAUUAUCAAAGAAAAAUAAAUAAAUAAAUAUUUCAAUUGCCUUAUUUUAUUUUAUUACCAAUAUUUUAAAGUACAAAGUCUUACAUGUAUGGUCUCUGAAAUUUUGUAAAGAAAAAUAAAAAGUAUACUUAUUAUGGUUAGUACAACAAUUCAUUGGCAACUAAGGAAUAUUUUAUUAUAAAGUUGUGUAAGAACUCAUUUUUCAUGUAUUGACCCCAACUUCUUUCUUUCCUAGAAAUUGACAUAGAUUGUCAAUGCACUUCACGAUGUGAGAUUUAUUAAUAUUAGGAAACGUUUCUUGACAAAAUUCAUCUGUUUCGCAUUCAACGUUUACUGUAAUAAAAUAACAAAAUAAAGAAUAAUAUUAAUAGAAAAAAUAAAAAAUUGAGUUCAAAGUAAAGAAGGUAAAGAUCAAAAUUUGAAAAGGUUAGAAAAAUAUCUUACUGCAAAUGUUUCUUUCAAUAAAAAAUACAGAAAUGAAUAAAAUCAUAAAAUGAACAAUAUUGAGUAAUUUAGCCAUAUUUUCUCUUUUUGGAUGUUAUAGAUAUAAUAUGAUAUGAUCAAUUUAUAGUGUAUAAACUUGUCCUAAGUUAAAAUAAAUAAAUUAUUUUUAGCCCUUGAGAAGUAUGGAA
rnacentral:lncRNA from 1 species